AAACGCCGCAGCGCCCGGAGCGCAGGCGCGGAGCCGGGAGCGGCAGUGGCGGAGCCCGGGGAGCAGCGGGGCCGGCCCGGGGGCACCGGGGGCGGCGGCGCCGGGCUCGGAGGAUGAGGAAGGCAACCCUGCCGAGGAGGAAGAUGAGGAGGUGUGGGAGGAUGGAGACAGCGGCCACCAAAGGCUGGGGAAGGCACAAGUCCAGCAAAGAACAUCCCAAACUGCCUCCUCACCCUCAUGGACAGCAGGAGUGCCCUCCAUAGCUCCUGUUUAGGAAUGGCAGUGGCUGUUGGGAGCUCUGGCAGGAGCAGCUGGAGACCAGCAGGGAAACAUUUAAACAAGAGGUGCCCAGAAGAAUUGGAGCUUCUGCACAAUGAAAUCUGCAGGAAUCCAACUUAAAAUCCUCCUGGAUUGUCACCGGUCCAACUUCCAUGGACUGGUUACCUUGGCCAGGAGUGUCCAAUCCUGCUGGAAAUGAACUGGACCAGGAUGUCAUUUUCACUUUAUUCAGGUAAAGACCCUCUGGGUGACCCCCAGUGACUGGAAGGACCAGACUGGGCUCCCAGGACACUAAUUCCAGGUGUUCUGGUUUUGGGAAUAGCACAGGAGCCUUUCCCUUGCCCAGAGGAGCAGCCAGUGCCUUCCUUAGUCCACAAAUCCCCAGGAUGGACCACAGAGAAAGUAACAGGAAUAUGGAAAUUCCCCACAGAGGGAGUUUGUGGUGCUCUGGAUUACAUUUUGGAUUUAUAAUGUUAAAGGGGGGUGUGGAGGGGUUUUUCUCUCUCUCCUUCCUGUUCAUUAUUUUUCACUGUUAUUUUUGCUCUCACUGUUAUUAUGUGUUGUCAUUAAUAUUAAAUGAUUGUAUUUGACUGGUUUCCAUUAUUAAAGUGUGAGUUGGA